rnacentral:rRNA from 1 species
AUGGAGAUGCUGGGGGACGGACCAGCAGGCUUCCGCUCCUCUGCCAAUGCCGUCUACAGGGGCGCGGGCAGUCCUGUGGCAGGGGAGGUCGCGGCCGAAGCACCAGAGGAGGGCGCGGUCGAGGGAACCGCUCUGCUUCAUCUCUUGGUCGCGGUGGUGGUGGCGGCUACCAGCAGCAACGACUUCGUCCCCAACCACAACAACAGCAGUAGCAAGAAGGUGACCAUCCAGAGUGCCAGAUCUGCUACAAGUUUCAUGCCGGUGGCGCAAGAGCGUGCUGGCAUCGCUAUGAUGAUGAUCAUGAGGAGAAGAAGGCAGCCAACCUCGUCACCAACAACUACGGCAUUAACACCAACUGGUAUGCCGACUCCGGUGCUACUGAGCAUAUUACCGGGGAACUUGACAAGCUGA